CGGGGCCUCCACGGCGCCUGCGCAGACGGCCGCAGCCCUGCUGGGCCCGAAGGGGCUGGCCAAGGGGCGGGUGCCGCGAGGGAGGCAGGGCGGGCCCGGUAAGCGGCGCCGCGGGGUUGGCUGCUUCCCUGAGGCCGGACUCAACGGGUCUCGGCUGAGCCACCGGGUGAACUCACCGCCCAUCCCCAACCAGGAGAUUGCGAGGGAGCGAUACGGUGCCGCGCGACCAAGAGCAGUGAUGACCUUUUAGCUGGAAUGGUCGGAGGGGUAACGGUGACUAAUGGUGUUAAAGGGAAGAAAGGCACCUGCCCAUCUGCAGCACCUUCGGCAUCUGCCCCUGCCAUGACCACCAUGGAGAACAAAUCCAAGAUUAGCACAGGAAAUUGUAGACAUACAAAAGUAGAUGGAUUGAUAUUUCAGCUGAAUACGCUCAUCAGGCUCAUCACCAUUUAUCAACUCACAGCCAGUUGUAACUCCGUGAUACCCAUCCUCCCCUCUUAUUAUUUUGAAGCAGAUUCCGGACAUCAUAUGAUUUCAUCCAUAAAUAUUUUAUUAUCUUGGAAAGAGAAGGAUUCUUUUAAAAAUAUAAUCAUAAUACCAUUAUCAGUCCUUAAAAUAAUUGAUAAUCAUUCCUUAAAUCAUACCUUAUUCAAUGAGUAUUUAAAUUUCCAACAGUCUUAUAAAUAUUUUUGUUUUAUUUACUGUCUGUUUUUAUGUUUGGAUCAGGACUCACAUAGGUCCAUAUAUAAUUGGCUGAUGUGUCUCUUAAAUCUUCUUUUUUAAAUCGAUGGGUUUAACUCGAUUCUUGCAGUUUAAUUUUUGUGGAAGCCGGUCACAUGACCUAUAGAGUUUCUGAGCAUGUGGAUUUUUAUAUCACAAUAUCCCCAUGAUGUUUUUGCCCAUCACCCUUUGUUGUCUGUAUUUAUUGUAAAUGGCAUUGGAGUCUUAUGGGACAGAGUCAGGUCCCCUGUCCCCCCCAAUUUGAAAAACAAAAACAACCAAAACACUAUGUUGGCCAGGCUGAUGUCGAACUUCUGACCUCAGGUGAUCUCCUGCCUUGGCCUCCCAAAGUGCUGGGAUUACAAGCAUGAACCACCGCAUCAUUUAAAUGUACUGAAAGGCCAGGCAUGGUGGUUCAGAGCUGUAAUCCUAGUACUCUGAGAGGAUGAGGCAGGCAGAUCACCGGAGGUCAGGAGUUUGAGACCAGUCUGGCCAACAUGGCAAAAUCUUGUCUCUACAAAAAAAAAAAAAAAAAAAAAAUUAGCCCUGCGUGGUGGCGCAUGGCUCUAGUCCCAGUUACUUGGGAGGCUGAGGCAUGAGAAUCCUUUGAACCCCGGAGGCAGAGGCUGCAGUGAGUUGAGAUGGCACCACUGCACUCCAGCAUGGGCGACAGAGCAAGACCCUGUCUGUAAAUAAAUAAACGUUGCCGGUAAUCCUAGCACUUUGGGAGGCUGAGGUGGGUGUAUCACCUGAAGUCAGGAGUUCGAGACCAGCCUGACUACUAUGGUGAAACCCCGUCUCUACUAAAAAUACAAAAAUUAGCUGGGUAUUAUGGCAUGUGUCUGUAGUCCCAGCUACUCAGGAGGCUCAGACAGGAGAAUUGCUUGAACUCAGGAGGUGGAGGGUGCAGCGAGCCGAGAUUGAGCCACUGCACUUCAGCCUGGGCAACAGAGUGAGACUCCGUCUCAAAAAAAUUAAAUAAAAUAAAAAAUAAAAAUAAAUAAAUGUAGUAAGAUUGCAGAGUUGUGCAGUGGAAGCAUGCUGGUCCUAUCCAUGUAGUGAAGGCAGAUUUCAUACACAAAUCUCACAAGAACUUUUAUCCCCAGUUGCCUUCCAAAGAAGCAGUACAUGGACUAAUGCAUGGGCUGUCCCUAACAGCUCUGGAAACAUAAACAGAAAACAGAAAACGACACGCUCAGCCCUUGAGGCCAAAAUGCCCUUCCCCAGAGCAGCUGCCAGAAGACAGGGAGCAGGAUCGGGUUGGAGGUCACUUCUGGGUGAGGGGGAGAAUGGUCAGACCCGGGGCAGGGGUGUUGGAGCCUGGUUGGCCUCACUGGAACAGAAGAGAGCUGCUUCAUGAUGCUCAGCUGACAGGCAGAGCCUUGCAUAACCCAGGUUCUCACGGUUCAGAGAGGCCAGCCAGCGCGAGGACAAAGACAGACACGCACUGAAAUGGUUUCCUGGAAGACAGGGCCCAGUUGCAUCUCUCAAAUGGGACCAGAUUGGAAGGGAGACCAGCUGCUUUGGGCAAAUGAGGCCACUUCUGAAUAAGCUCCCAAACUAGAUGGUGCCGAGGUUCCCGGACCUGGCAGCUGGGCUGGACAUCGCACGGCCCUGUAUUCCAGGAAACGGCAUCUCAGUGCUUGUCUGGCCAGUUCUCCAAAAGAACCAUCCACAGGCCAUUUUUCCAUUCCCCUCCUAU